GCCGCCUUAGCUCAGUUGGUGGAGCACUCGGCUGUUAACCGAGCGGCCGCCGGUUCGAGUCCGGCAGGCGGCG
rnacentral:tRNA from 1 species